GGGCUGUGCUCAGAGCAGGGGGCCUAAAGCAUGGCUUCUCGGUCUAUAACACACCCAACAGGAAUCUGGGGUGAUUGUGAUGAGAGGCACACAAAACUUGUGGCCUCCCUAUGAACAAAUUCCCUACAUGU